GUAUAAAGCUGUAGAAGAUGUUUGUAUAUUUUGGAGAUUAAACCCUUGUCAGUUGCUUUGUUUGCAAAGAUGUUCUUCCAUUCUGUGAAUUGUCUUUUUGUCUUGUUCAUUUUAAGUAAGUGGUUUUAAUAUAUUACAUUAGGCAGUUUUCUGGGACCUAGGGGUAAAAAGGUAAAAGAUAUAUUCCUUGACUCCAAGAAAUUUUCAAACCUCUGAGCAGAUUAACAGGCAGAUUUAUUAUGAAGAAUGUACAAAUAAAAUGUGAUCUCAUGGGUCUGAUACAUUAAAAUAUGAUAUUUUUCAUUUUUUAAAAAAGUAUAUUUAUUCCUAACCCUUGAAAUUUAUAAGGUCAAUCAACAAACCACAACCAUACCCUUCCCAGCAUGCCCUUUGUUGCAGCUGCCCAAUUUCAUUCUGACUUGAAUAACUUUACAUAUGAUGAUAUCCUGGAAGUCCUAGGUAAUCUUGAAUGUGGUAUUCCAAAUUGUGACUAUAGCAUCAUGCUCAGUAAAAAUACACUUAUAAUUACUGGUGUAAUUAGAAAGAGACAAGAGUUUUCCUAUGGGAUUUUGUUGCUUUAAAUGAGAUAGUAGAUUAUGAAAAUAUUUUGAAAAUAAUUUAGGAGCUAUUCAAGCUUAGGAAGGUAGCUGGUCUUAUUGCUGUUACUGCACCUAACUGAACCCCUGAGAACAUUUUGUAUUUUGAAAAGACAUGUGAUUCUGUCACUUGUCUAUUUAUAUACAGAAUAUUUCAAAGUUGUGAGUGGCACCCUAGUAGCUUAGAAAUAUGAAUGUGACUCCAAAUAUACUCUAUUUUCUCUUCCCUUUGUGAGUCUUAUGACCUAUUACUUGAUAGAAUGUUUCUUAAAAAAGGUUUUAUGCAUCCUGUCUCUGUGAUCUUUACAAAUUCUUUAUUAGACAGUCACAUUAACCUCAAAUCUAAAAUUUUCUGCUUUUAAAAGACAAAAGACUUUGAAAACUAUAAUCACAUAGUGUAAAUUUGUACAAUUUAAAGUAAAUUAACUCAUACUAUACAGCAAGAAAUAGUUCUUGCUUGUUGACUGGCCUGACAGAGACUUUUAACAUGCCAUUAUGUUGCUGUUAUUGUCAUCCUUUUAUCUUCAAACUAACAAAUAAUGCUCUGACAGUGUUAAAAGACAUCUGAAUUUUUCUGCAGAAAACAGCCCUGAGCUGACAUAAAUGCUUUCACAAGGAAUAAUAUAAAACCCAAAGAUAUUAGCUUGACAUCAUGGGGGAAAAUUGUUAGAAUGGCUUUAUAUCCAAAUCCAUUAUCCCCUUUAAUCUUCACAAAAGCCAUGUGUUGUAGGUAUUAUUGUUCCUAUUUUUCAUAUGAAGAAUGCAACUCAAGAUAGUUAAACCUUAUGCCUGUAGCUACAUAAUUAAGUGAUGGUGGAAGCAGAAUCAAACCCAGAUUUUCUUAAUCCAUUUUUUGUUCUUUCUAUGAUACAGUCUUGGAAUACUCCCAUCCACUCUAGUAAAUCCAAGUACUCUAUUUUCUAGGGUAUUUCUCUUAUGCCAUCAUCAUUAAUCAUUAAUUACACAGACAAGAAUUAAUCAAUGCAAUUACCUGAAGAGACUAGAAUUCUAGAAAGGUAUAUUUUGUUGGCUGAUGGAGGGAUAAAGGAGGCAGGAUAAAUUUCAACUUUGGGAAGAAUUCACUAGGAUUGGGUGAUGGUCUUCAAGACCAUGGGAAGAUAUUUCUGGGCUCCCAGCAUAUUGUGGUAAAAAAAAAUGGAAAAAAUAGAAAGACUUGGA